AGAGGCACUUGGCUCACCCUAGAUCAAGAGGAGAGGCUCUCCAGAUUUGCUGACCUAGAAGGAUAAGUCUGAAAGUAGGAGGGUGGGGAGAGCCAGAUGAACAAGGGAGGUGAAAACGUGAUCUAGGGAGGCAUCCGAGUGAGCAAAGGCACGAGUGAGCCUGGUACACUUCUGGGCAGGCAGAAGGAAGGCAGUUAGGCUGUUAGGAAGGCAGUUAGGCUGCAGUGAAUUCUACAAAGAGGCUAUGGGAAAGAAACCUGGAAAGUACCCUUGGCUGUGUACAUUUGAGUAAAGAGAGCACUAUAAAAUCAAAAACCAAUGAAAUGGUUUCCAGAACACAGAACUAUUAAGCUUAAGAAAAGGACAGAAGGAACUGAAGAGAGAGGAACUGUUUUGGAGCAUCACACUUCCACCUCAGAAGAAAUAAGGAAGGAAGGAGGAGGGUGUUCCCACGGCUCUUCAACCAGGCCGGCUCUUCAGCCUACAUCCCCAUCUCAUCAAGUAAAAGGGAUUUUUCAACUGGACCAACCAGAUGGUUUAACAGUGCACUCCCACACCAUUCAACUACGCAAGGGAGAUACACUUAACAUAUGCAGUCGUAUAACACCUACUAACAUUUUCAAACAUUAAACCUUUAAAAAAGAGUUCUAAAGAAAUAGAAGCUUGAAGUAUCAUCUCUCAAGUAUAUAGACACUACUUCAUGGUGUGGUAAUAUAUGCAUAUAGAAGCUAGUAAACACCUCCAGGAGAUGCAAAAGGAAUUAGAACUGCCACAAGGUGCAAGCAAAACCUUGAGGUAAUCAAUCUGCAUCCCAUUUUGGAUGAGAAUAUUUGCAACUUUGAAGGUUAUUUUAAGGACAGCAGCAGAAGAAUUAUGGCAGGUAUCUGAAAUUCAUUUCUGUGCUUUGCCGAGGACCCAUGGGAUGCCAUUUGCAGAUGAGAAAACUAAAGAAUAGCUUUAUCUUCCAGCUCUUCACGGAAAAAAAAAUGGCAACAAUAAAAUCAGCAACUCCUGCCAAAUAAAUGGGCAUAAAAAAGAAAUCAUAGACUGCUGGCAAUGGUGGGGAAAAAGUUAUAAAAAUUGUCUCUGCACCAUCUUCCUUUUGUCCUCUAAAAUAUUCACAUUAGCAAAAGUAUAUAACAGCUGAUGAAGAAAUACUGAUAAUUUGUCUUUGUAAGUAUAUCGAAAACAUUUCAAGAUCUAGAAAUUUGAAAUUGUUGACAAGUAUUUAUCUGUUUAUUCACAAAUUUGAAAUCAACCUCAGGAAUGCUCAUUCUGAUUGAUAUACUUAGGUCAUAAAUUUUUAAGACCACAGAUUUCCAGGGACUUUUUGGAAAAUCACCCAGUAAAACAAUGUCUUUUUGCAGGGGACUAGCUUCAGUAUUUUGGCUUCUUUUUGCUUCUUUGCAACAAAUUGGGAGACAAAGGUGGGAAAGUUUUUUUCAAUAAGUUAAUAAUUUUUUAAAGGUCAAAAUUUUGUUCUUUGCUUAUAUUAGAAUUAAACACUGUGAGAUUCUCUCUGAGACCUUGUAUACUUUCUCUUUUAAAGAUAAUUUCACUGCAUGUAAUUUUUCGGGGAAUGACUCUCAGAGUUGUUGUCUGAAAGUACCUUGAUGUUUGGAUAUUGGUUUGUUUGGAUGAACAACAAAAGGAAUCAGUAAGAGAAGUUAUUAUAAGAAAUAUAAAGCUAUUAUUAACAUUUCAAUGAAACCAAGUAGUCUGAAAAUUUUCACAGAUGACUGUAAUAGUUAGUGGGAUGACCUCACUGUUUUGCAUUAGGAAAUGUUAUGUAGCCUUUAAUUUAUUGAAUAUAACUAUUGCCUUAAUUUUAAUGAACAAUUAUAAAUACGUGAAUGAAAAAGGAACAAUUCUAUAUAUAACAAUUCUAGUUAUUAUUGCUCCAUAUAACAAUUCUAGUUAUUAUUGCUUAUUCUAUAUAACAAUUCUAGUUAUUAUUUCAUAUGGUCUAACAUGAAAGUCAACAGCAUAGACACAAGACAGAAAGCCCAUGUUUACAAACCAAAUACAUUAAAAAGAUUGUCGUUACAUAUCAGCAGAAGAAAAAUGCCCAAUGGCAGAUGAAGAGAAAUGCUAAUGAGAUUCCAUGAGCUAAAACCACCAUGACAAAUGUAAAUGAAUAGUACUAAGUGAUCCACAUGUUUAUUUCACCAAUUCUAUUUGCGAGAGAAUAAGUAGAAAAGUAACAUCCAAUUGCUGUCUUCCACAAGAAUAAAGAGGCUUGACGCUUAUUCCCAACCU
ensembl:lncRNA LINC00343 long intergenic non-protein coding RNA 343